UACGUAGGGCGCAAGCGUUGUCCGGAAUUAUUGGGCGUAAAGAGCUCGUAGGUGGCUUGUCACGUCGGGUGUGAAAGCUUGGGGCUUAACUCCAGGUCUGCAUUCGAUACGGGCUGGCUAGAGGUAGGUAGGGAGAACGGAAUUCCUGGUGUAGCGGUGAAUGCGCAGAUAUCAGGAGGAACACCGGUGGCGAAGGCGGUCUCUGGCCGGAACUGACGCUGAGGAGCGAAGCGUGGAGCGAACAGG
rnacentral:rRNA from 1 species